GAUGAACGCUGGCGGCGUGCCUAAUACAUGCAAGUCGAACGAGGUGCUUUGUAGCAAUGCGAAGUGUCCUAGUGGCGAACGGGUGAGUAACGCGUUGGUGACCUACCCCAAAGUGUGGGAUAACAGUCCGAAAGGAUUGCUAAUACCGCAUGUGGUCUCUGGAUCUAGAAACCGGUGACUAAAGGAGCAAUUCGCUUUGGGAGGGACCUGCGUCCCAUCAGCUAGUUGGUUAGGUAAUGGCUCACCAAGGCGACGACGGGUAGGGGACCUGAGAGGGUGGCCCCCCACAAUGGAACUGAAACACGGUCCAUACACCUACGGGUGGCAGCAGUAGGGAAUAUUGGUCAAUGGGCGAAAGCCUGAACCAGCAACGCCGCGUGUGCGAUGAAGGCCUUCGGGUCGUAAAGCACUUUUCUGGGAGAUGAGAAAGGACAGUAUCCCAGGAAUAAGUCUCGGCUAACUACGUGCCAGCCGCCGCUGUAACAC
rnacentral:rRNA from 1 species